rnacentral:rRNA from 1 species
UACGUAGGUGGCAAGCGUUGUCCGGAAUUAUUGGGCGUAAAGCGCGCGCAGGCGGUCCUUUAAGUCUGAUGUGAAAGCCCACGGCUCAACCGUGGAGGGUCAUUGGAAACUGGGGAGCUUGAGUGCAGGAGAGAAGAGUGGAAUUCCACGUGUAGCGGUGAAAUGCGUAGAGAUGUGGAGGAACACCAGUGGCGAAGGCGACUCUUUGGCCUGUAACUGACACUGAGGCGCGAAAGCGUGGGGAGCAAACAGG